UGUAUCCAUCACAACCUCACUGGGAGCCGAGGGCAUGAAGAAGGCUAAAUGAAGGAUGCCAAGCUCAGCAGCCGAUAAAACAUUUGCUAGGUCACUUUGAUCAUCUUAAGAGUUGUUGGUGGGGGCGGGGUGUGCACCCUGAAGAGAAGGAAGCCAGAGUACCCAGAGAGAAUCCAUGCAGUCACUGGGAGACCAUGCACACCCCACAGCCAGCCUUUGCUUUUGGUAUUUUACAUCUUUUUUUUCUCAUUCUUACUUUUCUUCUUUGGACAUGUUUGUUAUGAAUCUCCUAUUCCUGUUCCUCCAUCUUUUCUGAGACGUCCUUUAUGACUUGUGCAGUGCAAAUGAACCUGACUUUCUGAAUGUUUUAUAUAAAAGAAAUAAUAAGUAAAGAGUGGAUCGUUUCCCUUCCACUCCACAACUAUCCAGGACUUUGCCUGAAUCUAUCAAAUAAAACCUCAUGAAAAUACGGCUUUUAGUUGUAAUGUGAGAAAAUGCGAAAGACAUCAAGGGUUAUGAAGACGUACGCAAGGCAGUGCGGGAAAGAGUUUCCAUACAUAAACGGUGGAUACGCAGACACAUGUCUCCAAAGCAAACAUGAUGCUUUUGUUUCUUUAUCUGGGGAGAUUUAAUCCUGGCUUAACCAAACUGCUUGGAAAGUAUUUUGUGCUGAAAAGCCAUUAAACAGCCACUAAAGCCACAGAAAUGUCAUUUCUAUAUUUCUUUUGUCUGCGGAUUACAUUGACAAGGCUCAACCUGUCAGUAAGCUUUAGAGAAUCUCGCUUCCUUAUUUAAUUGAGGAGAAACUUAAACUUUACCUCCCCAUGGCCAAGGGUGACCUUUGCGGCUAAGAACCUAUCGCAUUUCAUAUCCAUUUUCUAAAAUCACAUAUCGACGGGGCCGAAAGUGCCGGGUGGGCCCCAUUAGGCUCACGUGUCCCACGAUCUAACCCUCAGCAUGAAGUAUUUAAUAUGUUUUUCUUUCUGUGUGCGUUCCACUUUUACAGGCCGUCAGUAAGUCAGGAGAGGACACCUGCAUGGCUCCCGCUGUUUACGACCAGAAAGAAGUCAGAAGAUCACAUGUGCCAGCAUCAAGUGCUGCUUCGCAGCGAUAGAACAGAAAACUGUUUCCUUUUUUAUUUAUUUUUUUUUUUUAACUGAAAUGAAUAAAACAGUUUUUAUUCCUUUUUAACAAUAAAUAAAUAAAAAUAUUGACGCUUUUCUAUAGAUGCAGUCUUUUAUCUAUAAUGGACUAAGUCUUUUUUUUUUUUCCAAAAGAUGAUUCAGGCAAAAAAAAAUCUCUCUUGGCAAAAAAAAUGGCGUGGGUUAAUAUUUUAGGAAAGUGACGACAUUAUAAGCUGAAACAAGAAGAAAAGUAGCAGUAAUAUAACAAUGAAUAAAUACAAGAUAAAAGAGGAAAUAAUGAGAAGAGAGAGAUAGAAACAAAAUAAAAUACAUAAAAAGCAAGCAAUAAAAUGCACACAGUCUUCCUUGGUAGUUUUUCCCAGACUGAGAGAGUACAGUGAGUGUAAAAGCGCAGGCCUCUACGUUUAUCAUUCUAUUAAUCAGAAAACUGCUUCAUCAGUUGUUUUUUGGGAAGUGUGAGAGUCUCCUGGUUUGACUGCACAUGUGGACGAAGACAGGAAGUCCCACUUUUAUCUGUCCUCACAGCUAAGGAACCAUGAUCGCCUGUAAACGGUGCUACGGUCCUGCUCUGCCAGAACGCCCACUGUGUCAGGCACAAUGAAACCAUAAUAUUAGCUUUGAAUCACAUGAUAGACUGGCUCUGCUGAAAACCACUGUCUGCAGAUUGACCGCCCUUCCCUCCCUUUCCUGCCUCUUUGGAUUUCUUUUUUUUUUUUUUGUAGCCCCAAAGUAUCCUCUUUAACUUUUAAAAGAGCAUAUUUUGAUGACACCAACCUCAGUGGCUGCUACGCCCCGGAGAAAAAAAAUAAAAAUAAAACAAAUUCUCAAAAUGGGACAGAACUUCUGCUGCCCUACGGCUCUGGUUACUUGGCCUGCAGCGAAGUUGGCAAGGUCUUUCAAGGCUACACCAACAGGAAAUUGCAUUAAUCCAAAGCUGGGCUGAAGUAAUUCACUCCCUGCUCUUUUUUGAAGGCUUUGCCAGAGCUUCGGCGGACCACCUCGGCUGUCCUGUUGGAGAAGAACAGGAGUGUGAGGCCUCAGGGCCUCCCCUCCAUGUGCUUCCUAAUUGGUUUAAUGACUGUAAUUAUCUGCUGGGGUGCAUGUUGUGCAGGGGACGAUUAAUGGCCUCCAAAACAUAUGCAGGCAGGCGGAAACUGAGGGCAGACGGGGGGGGCAAAACAAAGAAUAGCUGUGCAGAAGAAAGAAACCAUAAAAGCGGUAGAGAAAGAGACACGGCCUGCUGUGAGAAAGAGAUUAAAAAAAAAAUUAAACAAGGCUGGGAGUGAUUUUGUUGUUGUUGUUUUCUUUUGUUUUUGUGGAGCAGGUAAGGUGUUCAAAUUCUGCUCUGACUUCAAGAUCUUAUCUGGGGGCAUUAACACUGAAGCCGAAGCACGGUUCCAAAGUAAAUAAAAUCUUUUGGGUCUUUUUUUUUUUUUUUUUAACUCUCAAAUGUCAUAUUCAAAGGUCCAAAUCUGGACGUUUGGAGAGAAGGUCAAAGGUCAGGAGCCAUUAGAAAAAGUGGUGUUAUGUAUUUUUUUUUAGCCACAUAGCAAAAUCAAAUAACUAUGUUACUUUCCGCUGUAUUAAAAAUGCGCCAUAUAUCAAAAAUGACUUCAACGAAAUUUAUCUUCAUUACUUGAUGCCUUGAAAUUUGGCCUCUGUCUCUUUAAGAAGCUCUUGCUCAUUUCCGACGCGCUGCCCUCAGCUCGUCAUCACAACAAUGCUUCUCAUUAUGCCGUUUACAACCACUCUUAAUAGUGUUGGACUUAGAGGUAGUUCCUAUGUUUAGCUCACAUUUCCACCAGGUGAUUGAUAAUUGCUGCUGCCACUAGUCUGUUGGAAACUGAGUGGGGAAAGUGUGGCACAAGGUGAUUUUACAUUAGCUGCCCCAACCCCUUUAAGUUUCCUCAUAAUUUGCAAGAAGCAAAAAUGGCUCUUAACAUCUACAGCAGUUUGUGUAUUUAUACUGCUCUUUAAUUUGAUUUAAUUUUAGAAGAAAGCUUUAUUUAAAUUUGACCAACUUGGUAACUUUUCAUGCUUGUACAAAGUCUCUGCUCUUACACUGAGGAAUCCAGAAAAUCUGUAAAGCUGAACUUAAACUGCAACAAGACACUGUUAUGUCAAAAGAGCUGAGGCAACAGAUAAAACUACCCAGAGGCAGAAUACACAGCAAGCUACGGUAAACAAACAAACAAAAAAA